CUUUAUCCAAAAUUGUUGGCACCAAUUAACAUUCCACUUAUUACACUUUCUUAAAUAUCUUUUCUUUCCUAUAAAGAAUUAAUUUUUAUACAUAUUCGCGUUAAAAACAAAUUAAUUAAAAAAACUAACUAUUUUAGAAUCUGGUGGUCCAACUGUUUCUUUUUUAAUAUUUGAAUUUAAUUCUACCACUAUCACUCACUUUUUAAUCCACUGUGUGGUAGAUGGCCAAAUGAGGGAGGGCUGAAAUUAUCAUCCCACAAACACCGGCAAAAAAAAAUAUUCGGAUGAUGUAUUCUAUCUCUAACAGGAACACAUCAUCCGAUCCACCUAUCCAUACAUAUACCCCCAACCAACAUCAUCACACUCAAAUAGUGGGAAACCACGUAGGUAUUAGAACACUUCCAACAGAAUAGGGGUAUCAGUGUCCCAAGAACUAAGGGUGUGUUCCACGGUCGAAAUCGGAGAGACCUGUAACACCGAACCACAUGAAACCAGAACAUUUAAAAAAAAUCCAUACACAUAAUAACAAAGUAACCACAAAACGUAUGAAUACGAACCACCUAACCACUGCCAGGACAUGCAUUAACCGAAAACUAAACACGGAAAUAAAACAAAGUUUCAUUCACAUGCAACUUAACCAUUCAACCAACUUAAACGACAAUACACCAAACCCAGAUCUCUUCCGGAACGCACCCAUUGCUUUUCCAUGGAAUUUCUUUCCACUGAGUUAUGGAGAGUUUCCAUGGAGAGCAACAAUGAGGCAAGUGACAGCUACAUAACAAAAUAAACAACAUCCAACGAGUCAACAACUUUUGGGAUGCGGUUAAUGGAAGGCAUCCACAACAAAAUUUGCUGUUUAUUGAGAUAUACUCUCAAUAAAAAGCAAAAAACAAGGAUUCUGGAUGCCUGGGAAAUGGAAUGGGAUUCGGAUGAAGGCAAGGAACUAGAGGUAAAAGGGAUGCUGAGAUGGAUUAAUGGAGCUUUUGGAUAAUUGUGGGGAAAAACCCACGAUUUAGGCCGGGCAAACUUUAGUACCACCAUUAAGUAGAGUUAUUUUUCCAUACCUUGGGAAGGUCAAUGACCCUAACGAUAACCAGCGUAGGUUGCCGACCUACCUCAACGUUAGUCAAAGGCAAAAAGAAUUACUUUUUAUUUAUAAUUAGAUUUUGUUGAAACCCCUAUCUGCUGGAGCGUCUGGUGUACCAAAGUUAAGGAUGCUGGGAGGUACACUUCUAGAUAUGUGGAUCGGAGGUGCUCGUCAGAGAUUUGCGAGAAAAAACCGAGCUAGUACCUAUGUCCUCUAUUAAGCCUAAAGUGAAUCCUGCUAUGCAACGAAUCAACCAUCUCUAUCCGCCACCGCUAAUACCUCCAACGUCUAAGCGACCCUACACCAUUUAAUUAGUUAUUGAGAGGGGUUUCCAUCACUCCAUCAGCGGAGGUGGAAUUUUUUAAAUCUAUUGGGGGUUCUGAUUUGGAUUGGCACGCGAUUCCCCCGUACCCUUCGCGUCCCGUGACCGGUUUCCCUGAUUGCAUCGUGGGCAACGUGGAGUUAUUACGCCUUCUAGACCACACUUGUAGCAAAAAACGUUUCGCACAUCAGACUCACAAUCAAAGUAAGUAUGGCCCUGCACUCUGCAGUUCCAACAUUCUAAUUUUGUAGUGUCCGCGUAUUUGCGAGGCGAAAUUUUUGGUCGAGCCGUACCAAACUGAUAAGCAGCAAGCUGUUCAUCAGUCGGUUGGUACUCCUCUUCCAAUUCCAGUGCGUUAACCGGAUAUUUGCCUGGUGGUUUAGCAAAGGUUUUUGGCAAUUCCUUCCUCGGGAAUGUCACUUCCGCAUCCUUGCACGCUGUCCUCAGCUGAUCCGAGGUAAAGAUGGCCUGUGGAUAAACUAAUUUCCCUAUUCUUUCAUUGAGGUUUCUUUUCAGGAUUCGCACCAUCUCUACAUCCGGUAUUGGGACCCUUAAUUGGAAUUUCAUCCUGUUUAUUGCCAUGAAGAAAUCUUCACUACUCUCCCAGGAAUGCUGCUUGCGAUCCAUGAUGUCUCGGAUUAUCUCGAAGUCCGAGCGAGUAUUCCUAUACUGACGCAGCAAGGCAUCCUUCAAAGCUAGCCAGUCAUGACGGUAAUUUGUCCGCUGAAACUGCCAGUACCACUCGGUAGCAUUUCCUGAGAGAAGUAAAUGAAAAUCUCUUAACACUUCGCCCCAGGAACAUCUAUGCUUGUUCCGCUGGAUCUCAACCCGAAGAACGAAAUCCUCAGCGGUCAUAGUCGUUGGUUGGCCAUCAAACUUCAAACCCCAUCUAUCCAAUCUUAUUGGACCCUGGGGUCUCGGAUGCUGAGUUGGACCAUAGUACUCCGGUUGGUAGCCGUAUGGGUUAGGAGUUCGCACAGGGUAAGAGUUGGCAUAAGGAUCUGACGGGAUUUCCUCAUACCCAGCGGGAAGAUUACCCCUAUCUUGAUGUCUUCUCGUCGAGUCGGGUAUUCGGCGACUCGGAUGAGUAACCGGUACAAAAGCGCUUCCACCUGGAUCAACUGGAGGAUACUGCUGCACUGGUGGCUGGGUCGCCGGCACGGGUCUAGACAUCUGAUCGGUAGACGAACGAUUCGUUGGCCCUAUGUUUAAAUUCCUAAGGAAUUCACCAAGUUGAUUUUGGAUCUCACUCUUUAAGAAGGAGGUGGUCUUUGAGCUAGGCUCUCUAAGAUGUCCCUAGAACUACCUGAGCCAACUGCCUGGACUGAUACUGGCCUAUUACUAGUAUCAGGUACAAAACCUGUCGCUGGUCGCACAGUAUCGUUCAUCGACCCGAUACUUUCCCUACUAUGCACAUUCUCCUCUCUCAUCCCACUAAGUUGACUAAACGGGGGAGGAGAAACUGAAUCGACCGUGCUAUAGGUUUCAUCGCGAGCCAGAGGAAUACUAGCCCUAGCUGGUUGGUUGGAUUCAGCUCGGAUUUGCCUAUCAGAAAUAAGAGGAGAAUACAUCAUCUGCUGUCUAGAGCAUUCCUUAUAAGGCGGUUUAUGCGCUCUUCCUCUUCUUUACUGGAGUAAGCCAUCUUUUAUUUGUUCAACACUCAAUAAAGAAAAUAGAAAUACGAAAACAACAAAACAAAAGUGGUGAGUUUGCCAAAAAAAAAAACACCUAUUGGUAUUUGCAACCUAAAUGUUUACAACUAAUCUUACGAAAACGAAAAUGUCAAAAAAAAUAAAUGAAUAAUGUAACGAUGAAACAAAAAUGUAAACUUAACGUAACUAAAUAAGAAAAAAUGAAAAAGAUAAAUUGAAAAAACUAAAUUAAGAAAAAUAAUGUAAUCAAACAAAAAAAAACGAAAUGUAAACUUAUCGAAAACUGUAUAGAAAAAA